GCGGCCGCGUAAUUAGUAGCUUCAUGCAACAUUUUUAUUUAGGCUACUUUGUAACAGCACUUCCCUUACACCUGUCUCCCAGUGCUGGAUAUUGCGCAACAGCUGUGAAACACUGAUUACCACAUGUGAGGAAAACCGUUUACACUGUCCGUCCCUGGAUCACGAUGCUUCCAGACUUCCUGUUUUGGGGCCCGACUUACUGUGCAUGCUCAGAAGGAGAGAGCGGUUGAUGGUGAGGGAGGAAAUCUUGCUGAGAGAAAUAUGAGGUUUUCAGUCGAGGCAGUGAAGCACUUUGAGAUACGACAGAACCUCAAGCUGGCAACCUACAAAUGACCUCAAGUAUACACUUUUUAAAAUAAAGCUUCCAAUAGCGGUUUUUGCAGCGAUGGUGAAGAAGAUUUUGGAAUCCCCAAAGAAUCUUUCAGUGAACAAUUCUUGAAAGAACCAUUUUUUUAUAGUGUGAAAACCGUUUUAAUAAUCUAAGGAACCUUUUCCAUGAUAAGAACCCUUUAUCCAAAGAUUCCAGGUUAUUUGUGGAA